CAAGGUCCAUGGUGAGGUGCAGACAGACCCAGCUGAAGGUUACCAUGAGGACGGCGAAUGGCACGGAGAUAAAGACGGUUAUAGAAUAAAGAGGAACUCUAGCAGCUCUCCAUCUCCUCGACC